rnacentral:rRNA from 1 species
UACGGAGGCCCCAAGCGUUGUUCGGAUUUAUUGGGCGUAAAGAGCGUGUAGGCGGCCAGGUAGGUCUGCUGUGAAAACUCGAGGCUUAACCUCGAGCUGUCGGCGGAAACCAUCUGGCUAGAGUCCGGAAGAGGAGAAUGGAAUUCCCGGUGUAGCGGUGAAAUGCGCAGAUAUCGGGAAGAACACCCGUGGCGAAGGCGGUUCUCUGGGACGGUACUGACGCUGAGACGCGAAAGCGUGGGGAGCGAACAGG